rnacentral:rRNA from 1 species
UACGAAGGGGGCUAGCGUUGUUCGGAUUUACUGGGCGUAAAGAGCGCGCAGGCGGUCGUUCAAGUCGCGUGUGAAAGCCCCCGGCUCAACUGGGGAGGGUCACGCGAUACUGAUCGACUCGAAGGCAGGAGAGGGUAGUGGAAUUCCCGGUGUAGUGGUGAAAUGCGUAGAUAUCGGGAGGAACACCAGUGGCGAAGGCGACUACCUGGCCUGUUCUUGACGCUGAGGCGCGAAAGCUAGGGGAGCAAACGGG